rnacentral:rRNA from 1 species
UAACCUUACGGGGGGAGGGUACGGUUACCACGGUGUGAUUCAUGACUGGGGUG